GCGGCCGCCUAGUUCCAGCCGCUUAAACCGGCCUGGGGUUGCCUAGUUACUGCCCAGAGAACAAGGAAGAGGUUCUAAACGCAGGCAGACGCUCUGGCAAUCUUCGUCAAACUCUGUGGUGGCGUUGGCGUCCCAGAGCUCCGGAGUUGCUUACUCUUCCUGUAAGGGCAAUCGGACCCUUUCCGGCAUGUGACAUAAUUAUCCCAGCGAUCACUAAAACUGUAAAUUUGGAUGCAAUUAAGAGAGAAAACUCCACACAUUUAUGGAAACUUAAGUGAUGGAAUGUGAUCCGGAAUGUACUCUUCUAUUUCUGAAAUCUCUGUAAAACAGUACAAUAGAAAAAUGAAAACUAAAGGCAUAAUUGAGGAAAUCCAACAUCCCACAAAAAGGAAUUCUAGAAAGAUUUGCAGCUUGCUGGCUUGCUGAGUUGAAAAUGAUUCUUUCCUAGUUCUCCUUGGUUUCUUCCUUUCCUGAAUUGAUUAACACUGAGAGAUUAUGUUUUAAUUAUGUCGACUAGAGGUUUUAAAUGAUUCUAGUUUUCCGUGUCCAUUUGUUUUCCUAGGUUUGGGGAAUUUCCUACUGUAAUAUCAUUGUGUAGAUAUUCUUUUCUUUAGUGAGAAACUCAGCUCCUUCUACUCUGUGGUUCUUAGCUUUAGUCUGUUGUACACAUCACAGAGUUAAUGAAAGCCGUGGUCAUACUUGAUUUUUUCUUCAUUACUACUGAAAUAAAGCAUAUCCUUGACCUUGU
ensembl:processed_transcript